rnacentral:rRNA from 1 species
UACGGAGGGUGCAAGCGUUAUCCGGAUUCACUGGGUUUAAAGGGUGCGUAGGUGGGUUGGUAAGUCAGUGGUGAAAUCUCCGAGCUUAACUUGGAAACUGCCAUUGAUACUAUCAGUCUUGAAUAUUGUGGAGGUCAGCGGAAUAUGUCAUGUAGCGGUGAAAUGCUUAGAGAUGACAUAGAACACCAAUUGCGAAGGCAGCUGGCUACACGAAUAUUGACUCUGAGGCACGAAAGCGUGGGGAUCAAACAGG